GAGUUUGAUCUUGGCUCAGGACGAACGCUGGCGGCGUGCUUAACACAUGCAAGUCAUGGGGGCCCGCAAGGGCAACCGGCGAACGGGUGCGUAACACGUGAGCAAUCUGCCUAGAUGUGGGGGAUAGCCGGCCCAACGGCCGGGUAAUACCGCAUACGCUCUUCUUGUGGCAUCACUUGAAGAGGAAACCUCCGGGGCAUCUAGAGGAGCUCGCGGCCUAUCAGCUAGUUGGUGGGGUAAUGGCCUACCAAGGCAUUGACGGGUAGCUGGUCUGAGAGGAUGGCCGGCCACACUGGGACUGAGACACGGCCCAGACUCCUACGGGAGGCAGCAGUGGGGAAUUGUUCGCAAUGGGCGCAAGCCUGACGACGCAACGCCGCGUGGAGGAUGAAGAAUUUCGGUUCGUAAACUCCUGUCGAGCGGGACGAAAGAUUCGCCGGCUAAUACCCGGCGGAAGUGACGGUACCGCUAAAGGAAGCCCCGGCUAACUCCGUGCCAGCCGCCGCAGUAAU
rnacentral:rRNA from 2 species